rnacentral:rRNA from 1 species
GCGCGAAAACUCUACAAUGCAGGCAACUGCGAUAGGGGAACAUCGAGUGAUCCUCAUAUUGGGGGUCUGUCCACCCGUCUAAAAAACGGGUGUUAGCAAGGGCCGGGCAAGACCGGUGCCAGCCGCCGCGGUAAUACCGGCGGCUCGAGUGGUGGCCGAUAUUAUUGAGUCUAAAGGGUCCGUAGCCGGCUUUGCAAGUCUCUCGGGAAAUCCAGCGGCUUAACCGUUGGUCGUCCGGGGGGUACUACAUUGCUUGGGACUGGGAGAGGUAGGAGGUACUCAGGGGGUAGGAGUGAAAUCCUGUAAUCCUUUGGGGACCACCGGUGGCGAAGGCGUCCUACCAGAACAGGUCCGACGGUGAGGGACGAAAGCUAGGGGCACGAACCG